UUAUUUUCACGAAUCGGAUUACGUUAUUCUUACGUUCUCAGUGUGACCAGAUGAUAUGAAAAACUGUCGGAUUCUACACAACAUCUUCUUUACAUCUGUAGAACUUAGCGAUCUGUCAAGUAUUUGUGGUUACAAAUGUGGUAAAGUUUAGAGAGCUGUCACGGCAAUUAGCGGACGGACUCUAGAAGCGGCGACCACGUAAGCGGCGCACUCUGGACCACAGAUCCCGAUCAUGAUGGGGACAACCUACUUCGAAUAUCCUUCUAUGCCCCGUUGUCAGCGGUGACAGGCUAUCGCCGUUCAGAAGUCCACUGGUGGUGGACUUACCACACCACCACCACCACCGGGCACCGACACCUUUGAGACGCCAGGACUCCGACUAGAGGAAGACGACGGUCCGAUUUGGAGUCACCGUCUGGGAACAGUGUAAACC
rnacentral:sRNA from 1 species